UCCAAAGUUCUGCCGGGAGACCAAGGCUUGGCCCGGGAUGCUCCCAACAAUUACCCGCGGCCAAGGCCUCACCGUGCUGCUCGCCCGGGCCGUGAGCUGGGGGGUGGGGGGAGUGGGGAGAGAUGCAAAUACUGGGCACAGUGCGGCCCCCUUCGCUUCCCCCGCACGUGUGCAAGCAGCUACUCAUCCUCAGAUCACUGCCUCCUAGGGCUUGAGGACGGAACAGAACAGCUCUGCGGAGUCGGUAGUAACGGUCCCUGCGUUCACAAAGCUACCAGGAGGGAGGGCAGGGUUCAAGCCCUCGCCUGACACCUAUGGCUCUUAACUAACGAUGAGGAUGGUGACGAACAGCCACGCCUGCCUGAGCUCAUACGACGCGCCUGUUGUGAUUAAAGCACUCUACUCCGCUUAA